UACGUAGGGUGCAAGCGUUAAUCGGAAUUACUGGGCGUAAGCGUGCGCAGGCGGUUCGCUAAGACCGAUGUGAAAUCCCCGGGCUUAACCUGGGAACUGCAUUGGUGACUGGCGGGCUAGAGUAUGGCAGAGGGGGGUAGAAUUCCACGUGUAGCAGUGAAAUGCGUAGAGAUGUGGAGGAAUACCGAUGGCGAAGGCAGCCCCCUGGGCCAAUACUGACGCUCAUGCACGAAAGCGUGGGGAGCAAACAGG
rnacentral:rRNA from 1 species